CGGACCGGCGGACGGGUGCGUAACGCGUAUGUAACCUACCUUUGACAGGGGGAUAACACUGAGAAAUUGGUACUAAUACCCCAUAAUAUCUCAUGCGGCAUCGCAUGGGGUUGAAAACUCCGGUGGUUGAUGAUGGGCAUGCGUUGUAUUAGCUGGUUGGUGAGGUAACGGCUCACCAAGGCGACGAUACAUAGGGGGACUGAGAGGUUAACCCCCCACAUUGGUACUGAGACACGGACCAAACUCCUACGGAAGGCAGCAG
rnacentral:rRNA from 1 species